GCCGGCGCUUGAUCAAGAGCCGAACCCCUCUCCUCUCUGCGCCUUCUCCACCCGACAGCACCGCCGGGUGCUCUUCCUCCUCGCUGAGCGACUCGCCGCCGCCACCCCAGCCGACAGCCGGCUGCCUUUCUAGUGCCGACGCCCUCUCUUCAUGGACACCCGGAGCCGCCGGAAGUCGAGCAUCUGAACCCUAGGUUGGGUCCCUGUGCGCCGGCUAAAGCUUUCCCUGCCUCGUGUCUUUGAUCAUCAACUACACUCCUCCAGUGGAUUCUUCUCAGCCGAGCCUUACUCUCGAUUAGUUGGAAUUGGCCGAGCAGUGCUUUACACAGGGUCUCCUUGCUGCCACAUUUGAGAGAUCAGCGGCUCUAUUGUGGAUCCAAGCAUCACUGGUUGGGGAUGAUCCCCAGCUUCGGCACCAAGUUCCAACAACAAGAUCUAUGGUUGUGAGUUGGCAGGAAGAUAUUUAGAUUUAGGUUGUAAGGGGAAUUGCUGAUUAGGGUACUUGUGUGGAGGAUUGCGGCUCUACCUAGCUCCGACCAACAUUUCCAGCGUCAACAGUGGCUUGGUAGUGAGGACUUUGACGCGAGACGAGCAUCUCGACGUCGUAUUCGGACCAGAUUGGAC